rnacentral:rRNA from 1 species
GCGAUUAUACCAGCACUAAUGCACCGGAUCCCAUAAGAACUCCGCAGUUAAACGUGCUUGGGCGAGAGUAGUACUACGAGGGGUGACCUCCUGGGAAGUCCACGUGUUGGACCG